AUUGAACGCUGGCGGAAUGCUUUACACAUGCAAGUCGAACGGUAGAGGGGGCAACCCCUCGAGAGUGGCGAACGGGUGAGUAAUAUAUCGGAACGUGCCCAGUCGUGGGGGAUAACGUAGCGAAAGUUACGCUAAUACCGCAUACGAUCUAAGGAUGAAAGCGGGGGAUCGCAAGACCUCGCGCGAUUGGAGCGGCCGAUAGCAGAUUAGGUAGUUGGUGGGGUAAAGGCUCACCAAGCCAACGAUCUGUAGCUGGUCUGAGAGGACGACCAGCCACACUGGAACUGGGACACGGACCAGACUCCUACGUGGGGCAGCAGUGGGGAAUUUUGGACAAUGGACGCAAGGCUGAUCCAGCCAUUCCGCGUGCAGGAUGAAGGCCCUCGGGUUGUAAACUGCUUUUGUACGGAACGAAAAGGUCUCUCUUAAUACGGGGGACUCAUGACGGUACCGUAAGAAUAAGCACCGGCUAACUACGUGCCAGCAGCCGCAGUAA
rnacentral:rRNA from 1 species